rnacentral:rRNA from 1 species
GACGAACCGUGCGAACGUUGUUCGGAAUCACUGGGCUUAAAGGGCGCGUAGGCGGCUUGGCAAGUCCGGGGUGAAAGCCCCCAGCUCAACUGGGGAAGUGCCUUGGAUACUGCCAAGCUCGAGCGAGAUAGGGGUCGUGGGGAACUUCCGGUGGAGCGGUGAAAUGCGUUGAUAUCGGAAGGAACGCCGGUGGCGAAAGCGCCGA